GUGCUUGCUGCGGCAGCACAAAUACUAAAAUUGGAACGAUACAGAGAAGAUUGGCAUGGUCCCUGCACAAGGAUGACACAAAAAUUCGUGAAGCAUUCCAUAUUUUU